GCCAGGGCGUUAUCCCACUGUGCCACAGUGCCAGCUCCUGUAAUUUUUUUUUUUUUUAAAUCAGUGAUUUCAAGGAGGUCAGAAGCCCAGCCAAACUUAUAUUAAAAAAGCAAUCAAAUCAGAGUUUGUUCAGAAGAGGUGGAGAGAGGCUAGUUGAAGCUGAAGCCUUUCUUCUUUCAUGCUUCCCUCCCUCCUUCCCUCCUCCUCCUCCUUUGCUGUCUCCUGCAGUGUUUUCCUCUUGUGCAGUGUGAAAUCGGAAUGAGGGCAGGUUGGGGUGUUAUAAAGGACUGUAGUAGAAGGUCCCCUGCCUGCUUCCUGCCAAAUAAAACUGCAUGCAAGGAAGGUGCUUUGAGACACAGCAGGUUUUGAAUUCACAGCCAUCAGCGUCCAUACACAUUCCAAACCGACAAUGCCUGCAUUCCACCCAACCAGGAUUCAGGCCUUAGACCCUGCAAGGAAACCGGAGGCCUUUGUUGGUUCAUUCAUCCAUUCACUCGCUCACAGCCAGCUGCAUGCCGGAUUCGCAAAGGUGGAAAAGUCUCUCAUGUAGAAGAGACAGACAACACACAGUAAAAGAGAAGGCAUUUGCUAGUGUCGCUGAGAAAUAACCAGCAUUAACAGACGCACUCAGCCCCACGGCCUUCCCACCGCUCUACAGGUCUCCUCCACGCCUCCAUACUGGACCGGGCACAGCUAGGAAUGGAGGCGUUGGAGAUAUGAGUUCUAGCUGGGUAGUGUGAAGACAGGGCACUGCCAUACUGGGAGCGCUUGGCCUAAAUGAAUCCUCCCACAGCCACCGAGACAAUAGCAUACCCCCAUUUCACAGGUGAACAGACUGAAGCUUUGCCUGGGAAACAUGCAAGCAGGAAGGUAAACCCAGGUCCUCUGCCUUUCUGGCCCAGCCUGGCCUUUUGAACCUCUUCGAUGGCAAGAAUGGCAAUGUGACGAGGCGAAGGUGGUUUGUAGUGAAUAAGAGACCAAGCAUCUGACACCGACCCAGAGUGAGAUAGAAAGUUCUGGGUAGCAUCGGUGUAGGAAAGCUUCCAAAAGUCUGGCUGAGAGCGCCGAGGGCACACGAGACAGGGGCUGUGAAGGAGUGGAUGGAUUCUUCACUCUGGUGGACACACAGGUCUGCUUCCUUAUUCUGCUUGCUUCUGACGAGCCCUUCCCUACUCCCAGGAGACUCAGCGCUGUGUGCUGGCUUUUGGAUUCCAGUGGAAGAUCCUCCCAGCAAUCCCCGCGACAGCAAGGGCCUCCAGACUCCAACAGCUGGGGUGAAAGUGCUCCUUGGCUGAGGAGGCGUGAUGAGGAAACCAAGGCUCUUGGAGACUGGGCAAUCUGUUUGAAGAUCGCAACAGCUGAGAAAAUGUGGAACCAGGAUUCACUCUCAGGUCUGUCUCACUCGAGGGGCCUCCUGUCCUCUUCACACUCUGUUGGAGCUAUAAGGCACGGGAUGGUCACAUGCGUUAAAUGCUCACGAAGACGUAGGUUCUAGCAAUAGAAUGGAAGAGUGGGUGUAGGAUAGGACUGGCUUCUCGGGUGUGUUUCCUCUCGGUUUGCACUGAAAGUGGCCUUCAGGUUUGGAUUUGAAAUGGGAAGGAAGUCUACCUCCUCCAGUGAAGAUUAAAGAAAAGCUAUGAGGCUUGGCAACAUGGCUGAUAUCCUGGCAACCAUUCAUCUGGGCUCAACAGGGAGGAAUGAUGGCCUGGAGCCGCGGGGCAUGAGAAGAGCCAGUCUGGCUCCCUGUGCACCACCAGUUCUUUCUACGUCAACUUUGGCUCCUGUUGGCACCUGGGUUUCUUUCAUCUACAACAUAAGAGAGAGGAUAAUUUGUUCAGUGGUUGCCUUGGAGGUUAAACAAGAAAUGUAGGUGAAUGCAUUGGGCUGAGACAUGUUUAGAUGAAGGCUAAUGAAGCAGACUUUUAGGGAAGCCACGUAUGAGGCACUGGCAGUGUCCUGGGGUUGAGUGGUAUGUAAUGUGCAGCCAGCGCCUGUUCCGGAUGGUGUUCUGGAAAAAACAGAUGUGAUAAUGGCAGCCAGAACAGGCUCUAGUGGAAGGAGUGACCACCUAGAGACGGGCUGGAGAAUCAGCCAUAGAGGCC